UCCUAAUUAGCAUCAAACAUCCGAUAUGACAUAUGCUAAACUUUAGUGGGGUGUAUCCAAACACCCCCUAACGACUCAUGAUGUGGCAGCCACGUGACUGAAAAUACCUCGUAGAGCUGUUGCAGGAUGUAGUUCUCUGGUUUCGAGAGAUGACGGUUUUACAUAUCAGGUUUCAAGUUAUGGUAAAAAUUAAACUAAUAAGAGGGUUAGGGAACCAAAAUAAGAGAUUUCUGUGGACGCUUUGUUCAUUUGUUAUAAACUUAGAGAACUGCUCCGGUGGUUCAUUUGUUUGCUUUAAAAUCUGUGCGCUUUUUUAAAAGAGGACCACCGGAGCAAAUCUCAUAAACUUAUAUUAAUUCUGAGCAUGCAGAAUUGUAACUGGCCACCUAAAUUCAAGGAACAAAAGGUUUUAACAACUUUUUUCCUGACUGGUGAAGAUGACUGGAAGUCUGUAAUCCUUGGAACAUUUCAGAGCUCUGAACCACUAUUGUAAAUUUGUAAACCAAGUAUUUUCAAACCCUCCAGUUUUCCUUCACUUUACAUACAAUUCUGAAAAAAUAAUUUAUACUCUAGAUACUGAGAUUAAACCCACACUUUUUAUGGCUCAAAAAUUUUUAGCCAAAAUUAAUAAUGGCGAAAUCAUAGGCACAUGUUGAUUUGAAGAAAAAAACAGACAUCAUAGGCAUGCAGAGUGACUUGGGACGACGAGUCGAGUCCAUCCAAGUGUUUCUGCUGUCCUUGCUAUCUAACGUUUGCAGCAGCUUGCAGAGCUGGCAGCUGCCAUUGUGAGGAUGUGAUUGUGAAUUGUGAUGGGUCCUUCCAAAUUCGAUAUUCAGACAAGGUCAGGGUCGCUGUUGCAUAAUUAUUUUCUGAACCGAGGUUGUUUCGAACAAUUGUCUCGAACAUCCGGAGCUGAAUCAUUUGCCAGUCUGGCGAGAGCAUCUCUCUCCUCUUGACGUCUUGCCUUCUUGGUCAUCUCCUCUUCCUCCCUCGGCUCUCGUCUUGCUACCGCCGGGUGAGGCUAGGAGGAUUGGGGGAAGAGGUGGCAGCUAGCGGACCGGCCGCCGGCAGAUCCGCCAUGAGCAACGAGGGCGAUGUUCCUGAUAAAUGGUGAUAUGUCGGCGGGAUGCAUUCGACAUUGAUGUCUUUGUUAUAUGUACUACGUAGGCCCCUGUUGCUGGGAUUACAGUCACUUGGGAAGAAGAGUGGAAUCCAUCCAAGUGUUUCUGCUGUCUUUGCCAUCUCACGUUUGCAGCAGCUAGCAGAGCUGGCAGCUGCCAUUGUGAGGAUGUGAUUGUGAUUGGUGCUGGCAAAUUGGAUAUUUCAGACAGGGUCCUUAAGGUCCCUGUUGCAUAAUUAUUUUCUGAACCGAGAUUGUUUCGGCUGAUUAUUUUCUGAAAAGCUGAAAAGCUGAAA